rnacentral:rRNA from 1 species
CCUACGGGAGGCAGCAGUUAGGAAUAUUGGUCAAUGGACGAGAGUCUGAACCAGCCAAGUAGCGUGAAGGAUGACUGCCCUAUGGGUUGUAAACUUCUUUUAUAUGGGAAUAAAAUGUUCCACGUGUGGGAUUUUGUAUGUACCAUAUGAAUAAGGAUCGUCUAACUCCGUGCCAGCAGCCGCGGUACUACGGCGGAUCCGAGCGUUAUCCGGAUUUAUUGGGUGUAAAGGGAGCGUAGGUGGAUUGUUAAGUCAGUUGUGAAAGUUUGCGGCUCAACCGUAAAAUUGCAGUUGAAACUGGCAGUCUUGAGUACAGUAGAGGUGGGCGGAAUUCGUGGUGGAGCGGUGAAAUGCUUAGAUAGCACGAAGAACUCCGAUUGCGAAGGCAGUUCACUGGACUGCAACUGAUACUGAGGCUCGAAAGUGUGGGUAUCAAACAGGAUUAGAUACCCCUGUAGUC